rnacentral:rRNA from 1 species
CCUACGGUGGCAGCAGUGGGGAAUAUUGGACAAUGGGCGAAAGCCUGAUCCAGCCAUGCCGCGUGUGUGAAGAAGGCCUUCGGGUUGUAAAGCACUUUCAGUGGGGAAGAAAGCCUUGGGGCUAAUACCCUCGAGGAAGGACAUCACCCACAGAAGAAGCACCGGCUAACUCCGUGCCAGCAGCCGCGGUAAUACGGAGGGUGCGAGCGUUAAUCGGAAUUACUGGGCGUAAAGCGCGCGUAGGCGGUCUGAUAAGCCGGUUGUGAAAGCCCCGGGCUCAACCUGGGAACGGCAUCCGGAACUGUCAGGCUAGAGUGCAGGAGAGGAAGGUAGAAUUCCCGGUGUAGCGGUGAAAUGCGUAGAGAUCGGGAGGAAUACCAGUGGCGAAGGCGGCCUUCUGGACUGACACUGACGCUGAGGUGCGAAAGCGUGGGUAGCAAACAGGAUUAGAUACCCCGUAGUC